UGGGGAAUUUUGGACAAUGGGCGCAAGCCUGAUCCUGCAAUGCCGCGUGCAGGAUGAAGGCCUUCGGGUUGUAAACUGCUUUUGUACGGAGCGAAAAGGUCUGCCCUAAUACGGUGGGCUCAUGACGGUACCGUAAGAAUAAGCACCGGCUAACUACGUGCCAGCAGCCGCGGUAAUACGUAGGGUGCGAGCGUUAAUCGGAAUUACUGGGCGUAAAGCGCGCGUAGGUGGUUUGUUAAGUUGGAUGUGAAAUCCCCGGGCUCAACCUGGGAACUGCAUUUGUGACUGCAUAGCUAGAGUACGGCAGAGGGGGAUGGAAUUCCGCGUGUAGCAGUGAAAUGCGUAGAUAUGCGGAGGAACACCGAUGGCGAAGGCAAUCCCCUGGGCCUGUACUGACGCUCAUGCACGAAAGCGUGGGGAGCAAACA
rnacentral:rRNA from 1 species